rnacentral:rRNA from 1 species
GCAGCAGCCGCGGUAACACGGAGGGUGCAAGCGUUAAUCGGAAUUACUGGGCGUAAAGCGCACGCAGGCGGUCUGACAAGUCAGAUGUGAAAUCCCCGGGCUUAACCUGGGAACUGCAUUUGAAACUGUCAGGCUGGAGUCUUGUAGAGGGGGGUGGAAUUCCAGGUGUAGCGGUGAAAUGCGUAGAGAUCUGGAGGAAUACCGGUGGCGAAGGCGGCCCCCUGGACAAAGACUGACGCUCAGGUGCGAAAGCGUGGGGAGCAAACAGGAUUAGAUACCCCUGUAGUCCCUGUCUCUUAUAC